AAAGAAGUUCCAGAGUAUUUAAGGGGCUGAAAAAGCAGGCUGUGAUGGAAAUCCUGCACAUAAUUGAACUGAGUUCAUCCAAUGAGCCAUUUUUUGAGUGAGGAUUACACAAAAUGUAUGCAAUUUCAGUCCAGUUCCUUUAAUUUAGAGAAAA